rnacentral:rRNA from 1 species
AUUGAACGCUGGCGGCAGGCCUAACACAUGCAAGUCGAACGAGUGGCGGACGGGUGAGUAAUGUCUGGGCAACUGCCCGAUGGAGGGGGAUAACUACUGGAAACGGUAGCUAAUACCGCAUACCAUCGGAUGUGCCCAGCUGGGAUGAGCUAGUGGGUGGGGUAACGGCUCACCUAGGCGACGAUCCCUAGCUGGUCUGAGGGGAUGACCGGCCACACUGGAACGGAGACACGGUCCAGACUCCUACGGAAGGCAGCAGUGGGGAAUAUUGCACAAUGGGCGCAAGCCUGAUGAAUCCAUGCCGCGGGUAUGAAGAAGGCCUUCGGGUGGUAAAGUACUUUCAGCGGGGAGGCGUUACCCGCAGAAGAAGCACCGGCUAACUCCGUGCCAGCAGCCGCGGUAAUUC